rnacentral:rRNA from 1 species
ACAGAAUAAGAAAGUCUAUUUUAAGCCGGCCCUAGGGCACGUACAUACCGCCCGUCACCCUCCUCACAAGCUGUAUGACACUCCAUACAUAAUAAACCACUAAGCUGAAGAUGAGGUAAGUCGUAACAAGGUAAGUGUACCGGAAGGUGCACUUAGUAUAC